CAGGGAUAAAAGGAUUAUCAAGUGACUUGUUGUUGGAAAAGUUACUUGAAGGUGCCAUUGGUGUUUCUUUAGACUAGCAGUGAAAGUUGAAACAGAACAACCAACAUGUUAAAUCCUAGAAUGCAUCUAGCUCACAACUGAUCAAGUGGGGUGCUUGUGAAUACACACACACAACUUCAACCAUAAUCAAGGAACCAGUGCAAGUGAUCCAGGGGGAGAGGGCAUCAGCUCAUCUGUAUUUAGUUGAGUUGUGAAUAAUCUUGGUCUUUUUAGUUAUAUUACUAACAUGAAAAUUAAGUCUAUAAUCAAGGGGCAGACAAGACUUCCCAUAAGAAAUAGUGAAUGUUGUACUGGUAUCAAAGUUUAACCAUAUACUCCCAUAAACAAAUGAAACAUGGCUCCAGAAAUCAAGCAUUUGUACAAUGGUCCACGAAGCUAUUUCUAUGCAUCAAUCCAUGCAUAACAAGGUUGAAACUCAAAAGUAGCGGACUUUAUAUGGAAAAGUCCAUGUUUUGUGGAUUCAAAUGGCAGGCCAGCAACCACACCUCAUUCCAAGAAUACAAUGCAUCAAUAAGACAGAAAGGAGGAGUGGUCUGCCACGUCUCUCCAAAUAUGGGGAGUUGACAAAAAUGAAAUAAAACGCUCGAAUAUUUUACAAUAUAACCCUGGGAGAAUGCUAUCAAUUUGUGAUAAAGCUGAUGCUUGCUUAUGUGCUCAGAUCCAUGAUUCCGGAUAACAAACAACAUAAAAGAUGGGAUAAGAACAAAAUUGCAUAGGUCAAUUUCUCUUAUUGCUAAACUUUUCAGUUGAAUCUCUUUAAUUCAAUUAUUGGUUCCAGAAAUUAUUUCUGCAGCAGAACUUUACAGUCGAUUUUUCCCCAUAAAAUGGAAUUUCAGAAAAAACAUCAAACUCCAAUGGACAAAAAAGGAAUGAAGAACCAGAAAUCAAUUAUAAUAAAAUCCACAAAUUCAAGACUGGAUGGGGCAAUAGAACCUCAAAAAUAAAUCCAUCACUCGGAUACAGCAACACUAAAUUUCAAGAACAGGGAAAAAUUACAGCGUGCAAAGAGAGGAAAAA
rnacentral:lncRNA from 1 species